GUCCAGAGAGACGACGCGCGACUGGCCGCCGACGUCAACCCCGGCAAGCUCGACCCCAUGGACAACCACAUCUCGUUCCAGUGCGAGGACAUGGGCGCGAUGGAGAAGAGGCUGAAGGAGAUGGGGAUCAGGUACAUGAAGAGGACCAUCAACGAGGAGGAGGGUUCGCCGAUCGACCAGCUCUUCUUCAACGACCCCGACGGCUUCAUGAUCGAGAUCUGCAACUGCGAGAACCUUGAGCUCGUCCCCGCCGGCGCGCUUGGCCACCUCAGGCUCCCCCGCGACCGCCACAACCCGCCUCUCCGGAUGGAUGGCGGAGCUCGCUGA
rnacentral:rRNA from 1 species